CUUUUCUUUUUGCAAUGUCCACCCUCCCUCGGUUUGAGCAAAGAGCCAUUGCGAGAUGCGGCAAAAAAAAAAACAAAACAAAAAUGCUGAUUUUUCGCUUAUACACUUAUUAGCAAAAUUGGAAAUUUUCAAUGUUUUCUUUCACGCCUUCUUUCGGGCACACAAGAUUUCUAACAAAUUCUUUUGUACUUUUUUGCAGGUAAGUUUUCUGAUCCGCUUCCUUUUUUCAAAUGUGAACAUUCAGCAUCACCGAGUAAUAUUCUCAAUGACUUAUUAUCUAGUCUACAUGAUGCGUAUUUAACCUAAGGCAUGUGCAACUCUCUACAAAAUUGUAAGUCAUUUUGUUUUAUUUCUGGUUUUUGGUGCACUUACCUCAAAAUUUUGAGGCUCUCUUAUUUCCGUGUCGUCGAAUGCCGUCAAGCUAUAUGUUAGGGGUACAAGUUCUUUCUAUAUGCAGAAAUGGGCGUCCAGCAAUAUAGGAAACAUACAAAAUGAUGUAACGGUCAAAGCUCUCAAGUUACAUCAUUAUGUAGCUUCUUGAUUACGUCAUUAUGAAAGUCUCAAAAUUGUCCGGAAUCAUUAAGAGAGCUUUAAAUACUUAUUUACGCAUAAUCUCAUAUCUCUCUCGGGCUAUCGCGUAUUUUAUGAUCAAUGGGAAAUGAAUCACACGAAGAAACACGGACCAAAAGAAAAACAUUGGUUUAUACAAAUCUCGUAGCUACGAUCGUUUAGCUACUUUUGUUACUCAUCUAAGCCAGGUAAGUGCAAAAUAGCACAACAACCUCCAGGGUUAACAUUAGUUGCUCAACGAAUAACGCAAAUUGAAAAGAACCUCCGGCCGUGGAAGCCGUACUUACGGGCUAUAGACAUACCGUCCGCGUUCCGGGCUCAGAGGCCGAAAGUUCUGGACGUUGCAUCCGAAGCAGUCGAAGCUACGGCUCCAGCACUCGGAACUUUCGGCCUCAAAGUCCGGAGUGGACGGUAUGUCUAUAUAGCCCGUAACUUUUUUCUCAGUGCAGGUAAAGGUAAGCCGCAGCAUGUGCCAGAAGCACAACUUUUUUUCAAUGAUGUUUUGUGCCAUUAAAACUUUAACAUUUGACUCCAAAGCCAGGAUAAAACUAAUUUCAUACAGCCACGCUGUAAUGCUCCAUGACGAAGUAAAUUUGAAACGAUCUUUUGUGUAUCUUAAUUAACCAAAUGUACGUCUCCAGGUCUUUCUUUUUUUUCCCCUCUCACUUUACCCCCUCCUUCUAUAAGUCGAACAGAAAUAUUUAAUUAACAUUUUCAGCUGCUAUAGUAGGUGGGGAUUAGUUUUAUUAAUUGCUCAGCGCACUACCGCGUCACUCCCAUUACUGAGAAAUCUUGAUUGUCUUACCUCUAAUUGUGGCGAGUAAUUGGUUCUGAGAGUAGCAUUUAUUAUGAGUCGUGAUUAGUCCUUCUUAACCUUUCUCGCUAAUUUAUUCAGCGAAAAUAAGGGUAAUCAACGAUAUUUUUCCCUUCGUUUCUCAUCCCUGUUCUCCCCUUCUUGACUUUUUUUUCCAUCUCGCACAGAGAACCUGUUUCCCCCAGGUAUAGCGGACGGAUAUUGCACCAUAAAAUAUUUCCGCCACCGCGCUCGUGCCAUGAACAUCCAGGUGAUUCAGCAAAAUCCAUGUUCAGGACCUUAACAAAUGAUUAGGCAAUGAUUGGAUUAACUAUUGUUUCGUAAGUUAACUAGUUUCUGA
rnacentral:lncRNA from 1 species